UUCGAGGCUGUUGGUCGCUGGGUCGAGACGUCUGAUCGUUGGUAUAUGCGGCUAAAGUCCCGAUCAAAUAAUUUGACGCAUACACUCGGUGAAGAUAGUGCAAAAUUAAAUGGUUUAUUGGCGGGUAUCGAGCCGUGACGCUGACUCGAACAGCCGAGCUGAGAGCGACUGCAGGAAGACUAUAGGAAAGGCUCAUUAGCCGCAGACAGUUGACAGGACAAAGCUGGAUUGUUCUUUCCCCUCUGCUCAGCCUCAAUGUCGACCCCCGUAUCACCCUUUAGUCCGCCGUCAUUCGUCGUCCACGAAUUAAGGAUCUUGCUUCUCGGGCUCGUCAACCGGCAAUCCAAAUCAGAUAAAUGACUUUUAGUUUUUAUGUAUCAUAACACUCAUUCCGGAAUACAUGAAUGUAUCACAUCUUAAGGACGAUUUCACUUUUGCAAUAAGAAAGAGAAGAUGUUUUCUGUGACAUCGCAUAUGCCAGGUACCGGAAUCCAUUGUGCCACUUGUUGCAGUUUUGAAAUAACUUUCUUCUCACAAAGCACAGCGACAUAAUUCAAUUUACCUAUAAUAAAUUGUAUUUCAAAACAUACAAUUAACAAAAGAAUUGUAACGCUAUCUGUCGGCGAUUAAUUUAUAUUUCAAUUUAUAACAUAUCGAGAUAAUUUCGCUUUUAACUUGUGUUAAAGUUUAUAUUCAGUCAUGGUGGAACGUUAAUAUAGAUCAUAUUAAUAACCUUCCACACGUUGAACCAUGCAUACAUUAAUAAAAUUUGCGCAAAUAUAUGCCAGCUGUGACUGCGACGAUUAAAUCGCCAACAUUAUUUAUCGAACAGGUUUCCUACGAUUAAUUACAUUAAACCGGACUUACAGGAUUAAAAUCCGCUUGAUAUAUAUGAUUCAUUAUAUUUUGUUCGUUAUGCAAUUUUAAAAAAAGAUAUAUUUAAGAUGUUUACUCAGUAAAUGUUCGUCAUUGUGUUUUAUUCUAGGUAAACUUUUUAACUAAGAAGCGAACGUUAUACAAAGAUCAUUUGAAGUUUUAAAAGAAGCUUGUCAAAGUAUCAAAGAAUCAAUUGAAAAAUGAAAAAUUCGAACGUUCUUUAAUUAACUACGUAACAUUCUUCUUUCCAAUUAAACAUUACAUUCAUUACAUUUGCAGAAUAUUUCAAUCCUAACAAGACAUAUGCGAUGAAUCUAAAAAAAAAAAAAAAACUCAACUAAAA